AAAUCUCCAAAUUUUCAGCAUUUAAAAAUUGUCGAGUUCUUUUUGUGCUUUUUUUACGAGGAAAAUAAAGAAACAUAAUGCUUGAUAAACGUAAAUGAAUAGAAAAAGAAUAUAAUUAUGAGAAAUAUGGCGUCCCGGGAGAGACGUCAGGCUCUCGGGAUUCCAGUGUUGCCAAUAUCAAAACAUAGCAUUGCUCGUUUCAUUUGCUUUAUGCUGUUUGUCUUCCUACGUUAACGAAGUUUAUUAGUUUUACAGAUUGUAAGUGAAUCGUGGCAGCGAUGUGGCCGGCGGUGCUUUUAACGGAAUAUUUCGUAGCUUGUAACUCGAGUGUUCGGUAUCGGAUCAGCAAAGGCUUUUGAUCGCCGAUGCUGCACUGCCACAUGCGUCUCAGUCGAAGCGCACGUCGAGCUGUCUGUCUUUUUCCUCUAUGUCUCCCUAUAAGAUCGUGUUAUAUUUCAAAGAAUAGGUUAUUUUCGGCGUAGCACGGGUAAAUACGAAAGUGCGGUCUCUCCCGGGCACUUGAGAUAGAUGCUGCACUUUUAGUCGGCAUUCACACGACGCUCACAACGACACUGCAUCAGUGGAUGCUAAAUGGGCUUAAAUGAUGCUUUCAAUGUUUAAAUUACAAAGAACAUGCAUCAUGUACGAUAUUAUGUGCAACGACAGUGGAAGAAAGAAGAGAAAACAACUAAAUUGCAACUCGGGCAAAUUACAAUGAAAGACUGAAGAACAGAAAUAAUAAUUUCAUUGUACUUUAUAAUUCUAUAAAAUAAAAAUACCUUCUGUACAAAAA